GUGCCAGCCGCCGCGGUAAUACGUAGGGGGCAAGCGUUGUCCGGAAUUAUUGGGCGUAAAGGGCGCGUAGGCGGAUAGUUAAGUCCGGUGUGAAAGAUCAGGGCUCAACCCUGAGAGUGCAUCGGAAACUGGUUAUCUUGAGGACAGGAGAGGAAAGUGGAAUUCCUAGUGUAGCGGUGAAAUGCGUAGAUAUUAGGAGGAACACCAGUGGCGAAGGCGACUUUCUGGACUGUAACUGACGCUGAGGCGCGAAAGCGUGGGGAGCAAACAGGAUUAGAUACCCUCGUAGUCC
rnacentral:rRNA from 1 species